GCAGCGGUGGCGUAGUGGUAGACGUUAUGGGUUUCCUAAUCAGUGGCCGAGCGCUGCGCGGGUUCGAAUCCCGUCCCAAGUG